UAGAUAAUGCAUCUCAAAUUGAUAUAAAAACACUGCAGUUGCCGUACUAAAUUUACAUUACUGAUACUCCAAUUUCCGACGCUCCUGAACGCAACUUUGUUGUCCGACUGCACCUGAAUGCACCAAUGACGUUAGUUUGAUCUUUUGAUUGUAUUUCGUUUGGAUUUGAAGAAGCUUUGAAGACAUUUCCUGAUGCCGGAGGAGAAGACGAGCAGCUUCGUACCUUUGCGGAGCACAUUCCAGUCUGUUGAUUCAAAGCAGUCCCUUAGAGCUUCACUAGCAUGAGGAGUCCAUUUUCUCAUUUGGACUUCAGUUGCAGGCUGUCUCAGCACACAAGACCAAAGAACUACAGACUCUUCACAACCUGCUCAAACUCUUGGUACAGGACCUCACCACACAGGUCAAGAAGGUUUCCUUCUCAUUUCUACUCUGAAGCUCACCUUCUCCUGCUCAAACUGCUGACAAAUGUUUCUGCUGUUCUAAAGUCUGGUCUCCGAAACUUCCUACAAACUCUCAAAGUCUCUUCUGCUGUAGGUUGCUUUGUAGAACUGUUACAGAAAACUUCACUAAACCACAUGGAGGGACCUCGAGAUAGUCGUCCAAAUGAAACCGUACAAAAACCAAAUUAGCACAAACCAAACGCUAAAGUCUCCUCCGGCCUACCAGAGAACCUCUUUAAACAGAGAAUCAGGACAGGAACUCUUACCUUCUGGACAACCAAUGUUGGUUCACAAACAAGAAUACAGAAUGUGUCUGACCAAAAACCUCUAAAGACUCACUGCAGUCAAGAUAAAGACACAACUCAGCUGCACCAAAUCCACUAAUCACUGCACACAUUAGCACCAUGUGCUAACUGUGGCUAAAAAAAACACAUUUACCAAGACAACUAUCCAAUACAAAGCCCUAAAACACACCAAGAAACACAUUAAAGACGAUUUUACUGCUGGAAACCGCAAGCCAACACCUAAAGAACAAACUAAAGCAACGGAACCAAACCCAGUUUAGUGAAGAGAAACAGAGGAAAUGUUUGACUGCAGCCAAAUAAGGCAGGAAGACACUGAGUUGCUCAGGUGUUCCUGAUUACACCAAGCAGCCACCUGAACAGCCAAUAGGAACACAGCUUACUGGAAGUCCAGAGGGCCAGCUUAGGGGCCGUUUACAUGAGGACGCUUGCAGGUAAAAACGGCAAAAUAUUUCAACAAAACACCGUACCGUUUAUACGAGGACGGCGUUUUGGGGGCUUGAAAACGCAAAAAUUCGAAACCGGCCUCCAGAGCGGAAAAGUAGAAAACGCUCCGCCAUUACGUUUCCAUCUAAACAGCAAAACGCAAAACUUUGCCGAGAUCUGACCACGUCGCGCACGCGAUUACAUCACAUACAUGCGCCGGUGUUUUGGUUUGCCGGCCGGUACAAGGACGUAAACAAAGAUGUGUGAUUAUUUCCAUCCUUCGUACCUUCAAGCAACUCUGGUAGCUCUAUGUACACUACAGGAGUCGUACCAACAAACGUACAGAAUCUGUACAGAUUCCAUUCAUGAACAUUUACCGCAGCGGAGAUCCGAAAAGGGAGACAGUAUGCAUGCGCGUAGACAUGGCGGAGUUUUAUCACAGCGCCACCCAGCUGCCUGGCAUGCAUAUCCAAUCGAAUUCCACACACUAUAGAGUCACCGUAUAUACGCAGAUUUCCUUCAAAACCGCUCGUCUAAACGUGAAAUGACAAGACGCCACUGUUAAGAUGGUCCUCGUGUAAACGGCCCCUUAGUGAAGUAAAUUUAGUUUAAAGUUGAAGCAGAAAGUUAACAGAGAAAGUUGAAAACCACCUUCUGAUACCUGAAAUCUCUGAGUUUUUACACAAAGAACACCUGAACAUGUCAAACUGUUUUCAUAGUAGAACCUUCACUGUAAAAACGUCAUAGUAUGAUUACAACCCGGCUGUGUAGGGUCGCCGAGGAGCAACACAGAAACAGGACAAACGCUGGUUUCCAGGGGGUUGAAAGAGUAAGUUUACAACAACACAACAUGUGAGCGGAAAAAUCACAAAGUCUGUCUUUAGUUCAGCUGAAAAUACUAGUUUUUGUCUUUUUUAUUGACCAAACAUUUCAGGAAGUAGAUGAAGAAUAAUUAAAGCUCUCAUGUAGAAGUCCAACUUCUUUUGGAUCCUUGUGGAGAGUUUAAUCUUAGAGUUUGUAAAGCUGUUGAGUUUUUAGAGUCACAUGGAUUGUUUUGACAUUUUAGUGUCAUAUUGUAAUUCUGUUCAGUGAAUGGAUAAUUUAUGUUCUGAAGAUAUGUUCUGUUUUUGCUUCAGCACUUUUUAUUGUUUAGUUUGCUGAUGUGGUCAACUUGAAGCUGUUGAGUGUGUACAAUAAAAUCCUCCAAGACAAAUGUUACAAAGUGGUUGCUGGAGUUACUUCUAUUACGUAGAUAUUUAUGGAAAAUACUGAAAUGCGUUGUGCAAAUCCAGCCACAGAACUUUCAUCCAUAUUUUACAUGAAGAAUCAUAUUCAAUACUGCCUGCCCUUGCUGGGGGUUUUUUCAGAUUUUUUUGUAGCUCAAUGUUUUGUUAUUAUCCCUGAAUGUUAUCUCUAUAAUAAGAUUUUAACAGGCAAAAUGCUCUUAAAUUAUACCAGAAUGCAGGAAAUAACUAAUUUUCAAAUUUUUCAAAAACCCAUUCUAUUGGUUGAAAAGCCGUAAAAUUUUAUUCAUACAUAUAUGGCUGAAGUUUGGUCUAAAUCUAAAUUUACAGUCAAAGCAAGAUAUCAGUAUCAUCCUCCAGCCCUAAUCCUUUCUGUAUGGUUCUAUUGGUGAUAUUUCACUGUAAAACACACUUUCUUCAAUGACUCUGCCCUUUGAGAUGUUUCCCUUCUCUCUCAUGCUGCAUUCAAUAAUUUUGCCAACGGUUGUAGUAGCAGAGUUGGAGGCCUGUUUGUGAUCUCCACAAACAUCCCGAGGCUGCUUUCACUGGCCGUGUCAAUAAUAUAACUGGACCAGAAAGUGGGUUUUAAAUCAAAAUGACUCUUUUAAUUCAGUGAAUCGCAUUAAGCAGCAGCACUGUAUUUCAAAGCACAUUCCUCUCUAAUUAUAUAUGUUAUUAUUCACGCACAAAUACCCCCAUGACACAUAAAUAGAUGAGCAGGGGGCCAUUACGUAACUGCCGGUAUGACAUCACCCACAUUAAUGUUAUAUUAAAAAUUUGCUUUUAAGAUUCAUGCAGCUGAGGCCAAUGUGCUGGAGGCCCUGAGGGAAAAUUGAUUUGGUGUCUCUUCACAUAAUAGCUUCUGGCUCUCAGGUCCUCAAACAGCAGCUUUAAAAACCCCAAAUGGACGUUAAAGCUUCCAGGAGGCUUUUAGCAGCGUUAAUGUUUAACGUUCCUUUUCUG